rnacentral:rRNA from 1 species
UUGAACGCUGGCGGCAUGCUUUACACAUGCAAGUCGAACGGUAACAGGCCUUCGGGUGCUGACGAGUGGCGAACGGGUGAGUAAUGCAUCGGAACGUACCCAGAGGUGGGGGAUAACGCAGCGAAAGCUGUGCUAAUACCGCAUGUGAUCUGAGGAUGAAAGCGGGGGACCGAGCAGCAAUGUUUGGCCUCGCGCCUUUGGAGCGGCCGAUGUCGGAUUAGCUAGUUGGUGGGGUAAAGGCCUACCAAGGCGACGAUCCGUAGCUGGUCUGAGAGGACGACCAGCCACACUGGGACUGAGACACGGCCCAGACUCCUACGGGAGGCAGCAAUGGGGAAUUUUGGACAAUGGGCGCAAGCCUGAUCCAGCAAUGCCGCGUGAGGGAAGAAGGCCUUCGGGUUGUAAACCGCUUUUGGCAGGAACGAAACGGUGUCCGCUAAUACCGGGCGCUAAUGACGGUACCUGCAGAAUAAGCACCGGCUAACUACGUG